GACGAACGCUGGCGGCGUGCUUAACACAUGCAAGUCGAACGGAAAGGCCCUGCUUUUGUGGGGUGCUCGAGUGGCGAACGGGUGAGUAACACGUGAGUAACCUGCCCUUGACUUUGGGAUAACUUCAGGAAACUGGGGCUAAUACCGGAUAGGAGCUCCUGCUGGAUGGUGGGGGUUGGAAAGUUUCGGCGGUUGGGGAUGGACUCGCGGCUUAUCAGCUUGUUGGUGGGGUAGUGUCUUACCAAGGCUUUGACGGGUAGCCGGCCUGAGAGGGUGACCGGCCACAUUGGGACUGAGAUACGGCCCAGACUCCUACGGGAGGCAGCAGUGGGGAAUAUUGCACAAUGGGCGGAAGCCUGAUGCAGCAACGCCGCGUGCGGGAUGACGGCCUUCGGGUUGUAAACCGCUUUCGCCUGUGACGAAGCGUGAGUGACGGUAAUGGGUAAAGAAGCACCGGCUAACUACGUG
rnacentral:rRNA from 1 species